GUAGGUGGCAAGCGUUGUCCGGAAUUAGUGGGCGUAAAGCGCGCGCAGGCGGUUCUUUAAGUCUGAUGUGAAAGCCCACGGCUCAACCGUGGAGGGUCAUUGGAAACUGGAGAACUUGAGUACAGAAGAGGAAAGCGGAAUUCCACGUGUAGCGGUGAAAUGCGUAGAGAUGUGGAGGAACACCAGUGGCGAAGGCGGCUUUCUGGUCUGUAACUGACGCUGAGGCGCGAAAGCGUGGGGAGCAAACAGGGAUUAGAUACCCUGGUAGUCCACGCCGUAAACGAUGAGUGCUAAGUGUUAGGGGGUUUCCGCCCCCUUAGUGCUGCAGCUAACGCAUUAAGCACUCCGCCUGGGGAGUACGGCCGCAAGGCUG
rnacentral:rRNA from 1 species